rnacentral:rRNA from 1 species
CGGGUGCACUGAUCCGGCCGGGCCUUUCCCUCUGUGGAACCCCAUGGCCUUCACUGGCUGUGCGGGGGAAACAGGACUUUUACUGUGAAAAAAUUAGAGUGCUCCAGGCAGGCCUAUGCUCGAAUACAUUAGCAUGGAAUAAUAGAAUAGGACGCGUGGUUCUAUUUUGUUGGUUUCUAGGACCGCCGUAAUGAUUAAUAGGGACAGUCGGGGGCAUCAGUAUUCAAUUGUCAGAGGUGAAAUUCUUGGAUCUAUUGAAGACUAACUACUGCGAAAGCAUUUGCCAAGGAUGUUUUCAUUGAUAAGGAACGAAAGUUAGGGGAUCGAAGACGAUCAGAUACCGUCGUAGUCUUAACUAUAAACUAUGCCGACUAGGGAUCGGACGAUGUUAUUUCUUGACGCGUUCGGCACCUUUCGAGAAAUCAAAGUGCUUGGGCUCCAGGGGGAGUAUGGUCGCAAGGCUGAAACUUAAAGAAAUUGACGGAAGGGCACCACCGGGGGUGGAACCUGCGGCUUAAUUUGACUCAACACGGGGAAACUCACCAGGUCCAGACACAGUGAGGAUUGACAGAUUGAGAGCUCUUUCUUGAUUCUGUGGGUGGUGGUGCAUGGCCGUUCUUAGUUGGUGGAGUGAUUUGUCUGCUUAAUUGCGAUAACGAACGAGACCUUAACCUGCUAAAUAGCCCGUACUGCUCUGGCAGUUCGCCGGCUUCUUAGAGGGACUAUCGG